GAAGUUUAUUUGGGGUUGUUUUAGAGCUAGGUGGUCCACCACUGUAGCCACUGGUCACAUGUGACUAUUUAAAUGAAAAUUAAAUAAAAUAAAAAAUUCAGCUUUCCACUCAUAGUAGGCACAUUUCAAGUGCUCAGUGGUCACAUGGCUGCUGAAUUGGACUGUUAUAUCUUUGUAAGAAGUUCUGUUGGGCAGAGCUGCUCUGAAGUUUUGAACUUUCAACAGAGUGAAUUAUGGCAAGGCAGAUUUCAGCUCAUUUCUAACAAAACUGUUCUAUUAAUUUUAACUGUUCAGUGCCAGAGCUGUUGAACUGGCUGCCUCAAAGAAUAGUAAGCUUUCUGUCAUUUGAAGUACUCAGACAGAGACUAGAUUCCUACUUUUUGGAGUGAUGUAGAAGAGUUUCCUACCCAGAACCUUAGGGUGUUUAAGUGGGAAGAAGACUCAGCAAUUCAAUGUUUCUUUUACUGCAGAUGAAGACACAGACUCAGAGUCAGACAGUUUUGCCCAAAGACCCACAACUGGUUAAUGGCAAAUGCUAGCUGUCCUCAUGAAUCCUAGCUUAGUACUUUUCCCAUUCCACCCAUUGGCUAAUGUUUUAACAACAAGGUCCUCGCGGUUCUUGUUGAGCAACACAUUUCCGCUUCUGGCAUUCACCAGCUUUUCCACUUAUUCUCUCCCACUCUUCUGCAGUGAAAACUACACUGCAGCCAAGCUGAACUGGCUAUAUUGAAAUACGUUAUUCUGAUUCCUGCCUCUGCGUCUUUGCUAUUGCUUUGCCCUUUAUCAAAGUGACAUUUCUUCACAAACUUAAUUCUACUUAUUUUCUAACUUCUCCUCAGGUCUCAGAAUAUUCAAACCCAUACCAUCUCUUCUCUUUGCUAAACUACCUUGUUACAAUGCACUCAGACAUUUAUACUCUCUGUGAUGAUUAUAUUUUGUCUUAUCCCUUUGAUGAGCUUCUUAAAGACUGUGAUUACUAUUUUCAUGCAUAUAUCCUUUUUCUGUCUCCCUCACUAGAAUAUAAGUUCCUCAAGGGCAGGGACUAUAGCUGUCUUUUUCACCAUACCUUACUAUCCAGUUGCUAUCCAGCAAGUGUCUUAGCACCAUAAUAGGUGCUCAACAAAUAUUUAUUGAAUGAGUGAAUCAAUUUUUCUCUUCCCAAGCAUGCUAUUAUUCUCCUUAAGUUUGCCAUGAAUUCUCAAUAAAUACUUUUCUAAGCAAACAUUUCUGUUUCUAUAAAGUAAGUAUUGAAAAUAGGAAUAUGAAAAAAACAAAGUAAGGCACUCCAGCAUGUAAAGUGCUUGGGAGUCCUCACUCCCUUCCAAACCUGAGCAAGUAAAACUUGGUAAGUUUUCCUGGAACUGUCAGCAAUCUCAGGGCAAAUCACUUGCCACCCCAAAAUCUGAAGAAAUAGGUACAUUCAGACAGUCACAGCUAAGAUUUGCUUACCUACAGCAGAAGCAACUGGAACCAUAGACUAGAAGGGCCAUUUAAAUAGUAAUUUUGAUGAAUUGCUGGAGGCUAAGUGUUGACUAGCUUGAGAGUGGAACUCCUAGGCGCAGGAGUCUGAGAAAGGGUCUCACACGUACAUGGAUUUUACCUCCCGGAAACCCGUCAGGUUUUCACAGCAAAGAGCCAAGAUAGACCCUGUCCUGGCUCUGGCAAAGGGAAGGGGAAAGUAAUGACUUUGAAGUGCGCUCAGAAUGUUCUCUAUGAUAAAGACUUACUCUCCAAGGAAAAGGGCUUUACCAGAGUCUUAUCCCAUCUGGGGAGAAGAUAGUUCUCUGACUCGAGGCACCUCUAGAUUCCUGUGUCAACUAAGGAAGGAGGAAAAAGGUUAAGAAACAUUUGUAAAGGUCACAGUACAGCAACAUAGGCCCACCAAAAGAUUGAGAUGUAAUCCUAAGAAAAUGGAAUGUUUCCCUUCCCCACUCCUUACCACCACAGCAACAGGGCUCCUUAUAAUAACAGUGGAUUACAGCUGAAAGAGCUGCAAGAUGCAGACAGACACUGGCUGGCCAAGGAGAGG
rnacentral:lncRNA from 1 species